GAAAAGGGAGAAAAGAAGGGGCUGGACUAUCCAAUUCGACUGAAGCGGGCAAGCAACAUCGUGUAUUUAAAUAAGGAGUCCGUAAUAUUUAAAGAUUCCGAAGAAUUUCUUUAGCUUUAUUAAGAAUUCUCAGUUAACAAAAUUUUAUGAGGUUUUUUUUUUGGGGAUCAAAGCAUCUUGAUCUUUAUGUGCAAUUUUGCAAUGCACCUAAUUUCUGUUAAAACACACAUGCAUGCAUAUAAAAUAGCCAGUGUUUUAGAAUCUAAAGCUUUAUAGCUUUGUUGAAUGCACUUCAUUUUGAAAGAACAUAUGAAAUAUGGAAACAACACACAUAUAAAGUUACCUGGCAUUUGUGCUGUCUCCUUGAUGUAGAUUUCUGAAAAAACACAAUAUUGAAUUUUAUUGUUGAUUUUACUUUGGUUCGUUUAUUUUGACAUGAGAGUGUAAGUCUGUUAGCUCUUAUCUGUCUCCCUGUUUUGAUUAAAUAUGUUCUUCUUUGCAAAAGGUUUUAAAGCCUUCUGAUGACCUCGAGAGACUUGUUCAGAGAGAUCCUGAGGAUGGUGUCAGUUGUUGCACAAUCUCCAGCAUCUGCAAGGAAUAUGAUCUAGACAAGAAGGAUGUAUUAAAGUUCAAGGAGUUUCUGUAGUUUGUUUCUCAGACACACUGAAGCUGAACCCAAGUUUGAGCCUCCAUGUUUAGUUGCCUAACACCUAACACCUAUUCCAUCGAAGACCAAGCCAACGACGUGAUAGGACCAAGAGAGCCGGUAUAGAAGAUGCAUGUGCUGGGACAGGCUCAAUGAUGAAAUUUUGAUUACAUGAAAAUGUUCAUUGUAGUUGUAAGAUCAAAUAAGACAGUUACUUUUCUUUUCUUUUCUUAAUUUUUCCCUUUAUUCAUACUUUUUAGUUUAGAAACUAUUGGGAGGUUCUGCAAAAUAUUU
rnacentral:lncRNA from 1 species